rnacentral:sRNA from 1 species
CAUGGCGGAGCUGCAGCAGCUCCGGGUGCAGGAGGCGGUGGACUCCAUGGUGAAGAGUCUGGAAAGAGAGAACAUCCGGAAGAUGCAGGGUCUCAUGUUCCGGUGCAGCGCCAGCUGUUGUGAGGACAGCCAGGCCUCCAUGAAGCAGGUGCACCAGUGCAUCGAACGUUGCCAUGUGCCUCUGGCUCAAGCCCAGGCUUUGGUCACCAGUGAGUUGGAGAAGUUCCAGGUGAGAAAUAUCCUAGACAGAGCACUCUAGUCCUUGAUACAGACUUUUCCAGGAGAUGACAAGCAUUUGUUCAAAACUCUUGGCUUUAGUGUUUUGGUUCUGUUAACACUUGUGAUAGUGAUGGCUAACCAGUUUUCACAGGGUUUGAAAUUUUGGAAAAAGCCUUGGCGGUCGAGUGUCUUAAGUUGAACAUCAUUUCCUAUAGAAAUGAUGUAGGCCGAGCGCGGAGGCUCACGCCUGUAAUCCCAGCACUUUGGGAGACUGAGGCAGGUGGAUCAUGAGAGCAGGAGAUCAAGACCAUCCUGGCCAACAUGGUGAAACCCCAUCUCUAC